rnacentral:sRNA from 1 species
UUGAUGCUGCAGUAUGCGUUGGAAGGCUUUCCCUUGGCCCAAUUUAUAUCCACGGGAACUGUCCCUGUUAAGGCCGUGGUCUUAUUAUAUGGUUCCCACCUAGUCGUUCGCGCCUAGAGGAUUCCCCCUUUUGACGGUACAGGUGGCAUCAUA